rnacentral:rRNA from 1 species
GAUGAACGCUGGCGGCGUGCCUAAUACAUGCAAGUCGAGCGAACGGACGAGAAGCUUGCUUUUCUGAUGUUAGCGGCGGACGGGUGAGUAACACGUGGAUAACCUACCUAUAAGACUGGGAUAACUUCGGGAAACAGGAGCUAAUACCGGAUAAUAUUUUGAACCGCAUGGUUCAAAAGUGAAAGACGGUCUUGCUGUCACUUAUAGAUGGAUCCGCGCUGCAUUAGCUAGUUGGUAAGGUAACGGCUUACCAAGGCAACGAUGCAUAGCCGACCUGAGAGGGUGAUCGGCCACACUGGAACUGAGACCCGGUCCAGACUCCUACGGGAGGCAGCAGUAGGGAAUCUUCCGCAAUGGGCGAAAGCCUGACGGAGCAACGCCGCGUGAGUGAUGAAGGUCUUCGGAUCGUAAAACUCUGUUAUUAGGGAAGAACAUAUGUGUAAGUAACUGUGCACAUCUUGACGGUACCUAAUCAGAAAGCCACGGCUAACUACGUG